GUGGGGAAUAUUGGACAAUGGGGGGAACCCUGAUCCAGCCAUGCCGCGUGUGUGAAGAAGGCCUUUUGGUUGUAAAGCACUUUAAGCGAGGAGGAGGCUACCGAGAUUAAUACUCUUGGAUAGUGGACGUUACUCGCAGAAUAAGCACCGGCUAACUCUGUGCCAGCAGCCGCGGUAAUACAGAGGGUGCAAGCGUUAAUCGGAUUUACUGGGCGUAAAGCGCGCGUAGGCGGCCAAUUAAGUCAAAUGUGAAAUCCCCGAGCUUAACUUGGGAAUUGCAUUCGAUACUGGUUGGCUAGAGUAUGGGAGAGGAUGGUAGAAUUCCAGGUGUAGCGGUGAAAUGCGUAGAGAUCUGGAGGAAUACCGAUGGCGAAGGCAGCCAUCUGGCCUAAUACUGACACUGAGGUGCGAAAGCAUGGGGAGCAAACAGGAUUAGAAACCCCGGUAGUCC
rnacentral:rRNA from 1 species